rnacentral:rRNA from 1 species
UACGGGGGGGGGCAAGCGUUGUUCGGAUUUACUGGGCGUAAAGGGCGCGUAGGCGGCGCAACAAGUCACUUGUGAAAUCUCCGGGCUUAACCCGGAGCGGUCAAGUGAUACUGUCGUGCUAGAGUGCGGAAGGGGCUACUGGAAUUCUCGGUGUAGCGGUGAAAUGCGUAGAUAUCUGGAGGAAUACCGGUGGCGAAGGCGGCAUCCUGGACCGGCAUUGACGCUGAGGAGCGAAAAGCCAGGGGGAGCAAAGCGGG